UUUGAACCACCCAAUCCACAACCUGCAUGGGAAAGCCUAAGGGAUAAUGUUGUGGAGCUUCCUAAAGCAAGCCCUUCCAGACAUCUCUUGCUUCCUUUCGCUCCUCCUUGCUUAUUGAGCUCUCUGCUGUUAUGGACUUCUAGACUUCCCGUCAGUCUCCUUUCAGCACCCCAACCUCUCUGGGACCUGUGAGUAAUAACAGGAGCAAGAAAGAAGGAUAUUAAAGAGUUACUCUGGUCUGAAUCCACAGUGAAAAUUCCAGCAGCUGAGGUUCUUCCCAUCCUCUACUUCAAUACUGCAAAAUCCAAAUGUCAUUAAUUGCCUGGAUGUUCUGGUAAAUUUUCUCUUCAACCUGAGGAUUAAUGAAAAAAGUGAAUAUAAUGUAGUUGCAGAAAUGUUACUUGAACAAUUUUU